rnacentral:lncRNA from 1 species
AUGUUAAAAAUGAUCCAGGGCUUAAAGAGGAGGAAAGAAAUUCAAGGCAAUCAAACCCAUGAAGGAUGUCAUAUUUAUUCUCUGAGAAUCCUGGAAAUUCUGGCCAUUUAUGUCAACAUUCUUCCUUAUUUGCUAUGUGUUAGUCUCCAGUGGGGUCUCUAGGUGAACAAGUCCUUAAGGAGCUCGAUCAUGUGGGGAAAGAGUCAAACAUGUCAACAUUCCACAGUUAAAAUGAUUUGGUGACAGUGAAUACAUUGCAGAGUACAGAGAACAGAGUGACAAAUAUUGGCAUUUUCUGAGGUCAGAGGUCACAGUCCUCUCCUCUCAUUCCUCCCCACACCUACUCAGCAUGAUGCUCCUCUCCUGGCUGGUGUGUCCAAAGAGAUAGAGCUUCCUCUUCCCUCAGCUCCCAAUAUAGGGUUACCGUGUUUGCUUCUUGAAGAGAGGGCCAGGCCUCCAACAAGUCUCAUCCCCUCCAGCUCUAUUUGAGAAAGACUAAAUUCAUGGUGAGUGUGGUCAGAAGGUGAGGAGCUCCCUUUUUUCACUCUGCCUCUACUAAUAAGAGGUAGGUCCUCAGCUGCAGCUGCCUGAGACUACUGGAAGUCAAUUACCUUCACUCAAGCUCACUCAUAGUGCAGAGGUUCCAACCUGGGACAGGCAGCCAGGAAAACAAGAAGCUACCACCGUGUUCAAUGCACAGAAAGCAACUCAGAGAUUUAGCUCAUGGGGAGAGAAAGUCUAAAAGAAAAAAGAGCUUUGAAAUUCCCCACAAAGAAUCUAACUUUGUUUGGAUAAAGUUUUAAAUUUUGAUGUUUAAUAUCUGAAAAUCAAUUAAUGUAAUAUAGCUCAGCUGAAUUAAGAAAUUCCGCAUGGUCAUUGUAAUAGAUGCAGAAAAAGCAUUUGACAAAAUUCAGUACCACUUUAUGAUAAAAACAUUGGAUAAACUAGAAAGAGAAGGGAAUAUUCUCCACUUGAUAAAGGGCAACUACAAUAAAUUCCUCAGCUAACAUUGUAUUUAGUGUGCUUUCCCCCUAAAACUCCGUACAACACAUGAUUUUCUGCUCUUACCACUUCUACUCAAUAAUGUAUUGGAGAUAGUGUACAGGCAGUAGAAUUUCACUAAAUACUGCUGACAGGUCCUCCAAAAAUGUUCCAUCUUUAAAUAGCAUGAAAGUAUUAGGAUGCUUCUUUUCUUAUCCCAUCUAAAACAUUUUUACAUCUACAAUCUGUGAAAAAUAGUUAU